GACGAACGCUGGCGGCGUGCUUAACACAUGCAAGUCGAACGGAAAGGCCCUGCUUUUGUGGGGUGCUCGAGUGGCGAACGGGUGAGUAACACGUGAGUAACCUGCCCUUGACUUUGGGAUAACUUCAGGAAACUGGGGCUAAUACCGGAUAGGAGCGCCUGCUGCAUGGUGGGGGUUGGAAAGUUUCGGCGGUUGGGGAUGGACGCGGGGCUUAACAGCUUGUUGGUGGGGUAGUGGCUUACCAAGGCUUUGACGGGUAGCCGGCCUGAGAGGGUGACCGGCCACCUGGCGCCUGAGGGACGCCGCAGUCUCCUACGGGGGGCAGCAGUGGGGAAUAUUGUCCAGUGGUGGGGAGCCUGAUGCAGCAGCGCCGCGAGCGGGAUGACGGCCUUCGGGUUGGAAACCGCUUUCGCCUGUUACGAAGCGGGAGUGACGGUAAUGGGUAAAGAAGCACCGGCUAACUACGUG
rnacentral:rRNA from 1 species